rnacentral:rRNA from 1 species
AUUGAACGCUGGCGGCAGGCCUAACACAUGCAAGUCGAACGAGUGGCGGACGGGUGAGUAAUGUCUGGGAAACUGCCUGAUGGAGGGGGAUAACUACUGGAAACGGUAGCUAAUACCGCAUACCAUCAGAUGUGCCCAGAUGGAGGUAGCUAGCUGGUGGGGUAACGGCUCACCAAGGCGACGAUCCCUAGCUGGUCCGAGAGGAUGACCGGCCACACUGGAACUUAGACGCGGGCCAGACUCCUACGGAGGGCAGCAGUGGGGAAUAUUGGACAAUGGGCGCAAGCCUGAUGCAGCAAUGACGCGUGUAUGAAGAAGGCCUUCGUGUUGUAAAGUACUUUCAGCGGGGAGGCGUUACCCGGAGAAGAAGCACCGGCUAACUCCGUGCCAGGAGCCGCGGUAAUUC